CGCGGACCUCAUCUCAGUGUCCAUCCAGCUAUUCCAGGAGACCGUGACUGUGUUACUACCUUCAUUUCCCAGACAGCAAAACCAAGCCGCUCUGGGACUGGGCCCCGCUGCCUCUCUCCAGAGACGAGCCUGUGUCCCUGCAACACGCUGCCUCCAGUGAGUGGCUCGACGCUGGAGGGAUGGCGAACACAGAAACCAGCUUCGCACCGGCUGGAUGUCUGCUGCCUCUCGGAGAUGCACUUAAUCCUGGUUUGAUCUUGAGAAAAACAUCAGACAAGUCCAGUCGAGGGAUAUUCUAUAAGACACCUGAUUGGCGUUCCACAAAACUGUCCCAGCCAAGAGCCUAAGGAGGUUGAAUUGCAUAUAUGUUUUAUGUAUAGCUAUAUAAAAGAUAUGAUAUAUAUCUAUAUUUUAUAGGCGUAUAUGUAUACAUAAUGUAUCACAUAUAAUAAAUAUAUAAAGCUUAUAAAAUAUAAAAUAUAUAUGUACAUACGCCUUGGCUCCUUUCCUGAUAAACAAACUGUGUUGUAACUGUUUUCUUGACAGGCUUGUCAAACUCAGUGCUGCCCAACCUGGAAUAAGCACUCUGUCCCCAAAACUUGUCCCUUCCCCUGUGUCUGCAGACUUGCUGAGUGGCUCCACCAUUAUUCAGAUUGCCCAGAACACAAAAUUGGUCAUUUACCCAAGAAUUUGCUUCCCUGUCCCCUGCCCCUUGUCCACAUGCCCAAGCCCUGUCCCUCCCGCCGUCCGGCUCUCCCUGCAGCCUGUCCCUGCCUCUGUGGCCCAGUCCCAGUCUCUGCCCCUCUGCCAUAUGAUCUCCCAGCCUACCUGCCUGCCUUUACUUUUGUGUUUUUUCAAACCUGUCCUCCAACUGAUGCCAAUGUAAGGUCCUUGAAGUGCAAAAUUCCCUUGUUUAGAAUGCUCAACUUCACCUUUAAAAUAAAUGACUCAUAGAUGAAAAGAGAGAAAAGAUGGCUAAUAGAGGGAACAUCAGUGUUUAAGGGGUAGAGGGGCCUCUGCCUCAAACUAAGAAAAUGUGGUCAGGGGAGACAGAUGUGGAGGACAAAGGGGAAGCUACCAGGGAGGGAGCUGUUGAUGCUGGUAAAUGGUGAAAAAUUAGUCUAAUAAAAACUGGAAACAUAUUCUGCAGUCAGAAUAUCAUUGCCGACCUUCACAAAGUCUGCCAGGCGGGUAGUGGAGAUGGAAAUGGACUCCUGCGAGGGCAGGAGUGAGACGGCAGGAUUCAGAUGGGCCUCUCGGGCGGCAGAGGCCCAAGUCACUUCCAUUCUUUAAAGUAAAAUUUGCUGAGGUAUAGUUUAUAUGUAAUAAAAUUCAUCUGUGUUAGGUUUUGGGUGGGAGUUUGCUUUCAUUCUCUUGGGUAAUUACCUAGACGCCAGAUUACUGAAUUUUGCAGUUAGUGUGUUUUUUGUUUUAUAAUAAAAUGCCAAACUACUUUCUAAAAAAGUGCCUGUACCAUUCUGUAUCCCCACCACCAGAACACUAGAGUUCUCCACAUUCUUGCCAAUAUUUGGUAUUGUCACCUCUCUCUAUAUAAUAAUACUCA